GGUUUCUGUAGGUGAACCUGCGGAAGGAUCAUUA
rnacentral:rRNA from 1 species